rnacentral:rRNA from 1 species
GGAUGAACGUUGGCGGCGUGCCUAAUACAUGCAAGUCGAACGAAGACUGUAGUAAUACUGUCUUAGUGGCGAACGGGUGAGUAACGCGUGGGUGACCUGCCCCGAAGUGUGGGAUAACAGUCCGAAAGGAUUGCUAAUACUGCAUAAUAUCCAAGAGAUUAGAUGCUUUUGGAUUAAAGGAGUAAUUCGCUUCGGGAGGGGCCCGCGUCCCAUCAGCUAGUUGGUAAGGUAAUGGCUUACCAAGGCGAUGACGGGUAGGGGACCUGAGAGGGUGGCCCCCCACAAUGGAACUGAAACACGGUCCAUACACCUACGGGUGGCAGCAGUAGGGAAUAUUAGUAAUGGGCGAAAGCCUGAACUAGCAACGCCGCGUGUGCGAAGAAGGCCUUCGGGUCGUAAAGCACUUUUUGAGAGGAUGAGGAAGGACGGUACUCUCAGAAUAAGUCUCGGCUAACUACGUGCCAGCAGCCGCGAUAACACGUAGGAGGCAAACGUUAUCCGGAUUUACUGGGCGUAAAGCGCGUGUAGGUGGUUUGGUAAGUAGGGCGUGAAAGCUCCUGGCUCAACUGGGAGAGGACGUUCUAAACUGCCAAGCUUGAGGAUGGUAGAGGGAGGUGGAAUUCCGGGUGUAGCGGUGGAAUGCGCAGGUAUCCGGAGGAACACCAGUGGCGAAGGCGGCCUCCUGGACCACUCCUGACACUCAGACGCGAAAGCUAGGGUAGCAAACGGGAUUAGAGACCCCGGUAGUCCUAGCCCUAAACGAUGUAGACUUGGCGUCGGUGGUUUAAUCGCCAUCGGUGUCGUAGCUAACGCGAUAAGUCUACCGCCUGGGGACUACGGCCGCAAGGUUAAAACUCAAAGGAAUUGACGGGUCCCCGCACAAGCAGCGGAGCGUGUGGUUUAAUUCGAUGCUACACGAAGAACCUUACCUGGGUUUGACAUAGAGGUAGUAGGGAAGCGAAAGCGGACCGACCCUUCGGGGAGCCUCUACAGGUGUUGCAUGGCUGUCGUCAGCUCGUGUCGUGAGAUGUUCGGUUAAGUCCGCUAACGAGCGCAACCCCUGCACCCAGUUGCCAGCGAGUGAAGUCGGGGACUCUGGAUGGACUGCCGGCGACAAGCCGGAGGAAGGUGGGGAUGACGUCAAGUCAUCAUGGCCCUUAUGUCCAGGGCGACACACGUGCUACAAUGGCCGGCACAAAGGGAAGCGAGGGGGCGACCCGGAGCGGAUCCCAUCAAAGCCGGUCCCAGUUCGGAUUGGAGUCUGCAACCCGACUCCAUGAAGCUGGAAUCGCUAGUAAUCGCGGAUCAGCCAAGCCGCGGUGAAUACGUUCCCGGGCCU